UUUGACUCAGCAAAUACAGGACACUCACUCUUAGUCCAAGGGCAGUCAUUGCCCAAUCAUCAGCAUACAAACUAGGUAGCAUCUCUCUCUGCUAGUUCCUCAAACUUUUGUUUCUGAGCUUUUCCUCUGAAUUUGAUACCUAUACGAUCAAUUUGUCCCAUCAGGUUAGUGUUAGCUAGAGAAAAGAAAAAACAAGAGUUUUAGUCAGGAUUUGGCCAAAU
rnacentral:lncRNA from 1 species